GUCCCUAUCUGCCGUGGACGUUUGAGAUUUGAGAGGGGCUGCUCCUAGUACGAGAGGACCGGAGUGGACGAACCUCUGGUGUUCCGGUUGUCACGCCAGUGGCAUUGCCGGGUAGCUAUGUUCGGAAGAGAUAACCGCUGAAAGCAUCUAAGCGGGAAACUUGCCUCAAGAUGAGAUCUCACUGGAGCCUUGAGCUUCCUGAAGGGCCGUCGAAGACUACGACGUUGAUAGGUCGGGUGUGUAAGCGCUGUGAGGCGUUGAGCUAACCGAUACUAAUUGCCCGUGAGGCUUGACCAUAUAACACCCAAACA
rnacentral:rRNA from 1 species